AACAACACAGCAAGGCAGGCAGCACCAGGAGGUGGAGAAGUCGACGUUUCGGGUGCACCCCUUCUUCAGGACUGACAGCAGACCUGGGCACCACAUCUUCAAAAGGAUAUAUUGCCCUUGGAAGGAGCACAGGGAAAGUCCAUGAGAGGUGACGCCAGAGAGACUUUCUCGGCAGACAUUGCAGAAUGUAGGUCGGGCAUGGGAGCAGGCGUACCAGUUAUGCAUCCCUGAGAAAUGCUCCACGUUAAACUGUGCAGUCUGGCAGAGGAGAAAGCAGGAGAAAACCAGAACACCUGGAGGAGACCCAUGAGGAGAAGGUGUAAAGUCCAUGCAGAUCGUCACCCAAGGGUGGAAUCGAAUCCAGGACCAUGGCAUUAUGAGGCAGCAGUGCUAACCACUGAGUCACUGUGUCAUUGUGAGAGUGAGUUCCACUGAAGGUAUGAAGAACU